rnacentral:lncRNA from 1 species
ACCAUCUCACACCAGUUAGAAUGGCAAUCAUUAAAAAGUCAGGAAACAACAGGUGCUGGAGAGGAUGUGGAGAAACAGGAACACUUUUACACUGUUGGUGGGACUGUAAACUAGUUCAACCAGCUACUCAGGAGGCUAGGGUGGGAGGAUUCCUUGAGCCUGGGAGGCGGAGGUUGCAGUAAGCUGAGAUCAUGCCAUUGCUCUCCAGCCUGGGUGACAGGUGAAACCCUGUCUCAAAAAACAAAAAAAUUAUGAAUUAGUUGGGAAAGCCAUGACUGCUCUUCAUGGGAUCCCUUACAAUACUCCUCUUCUGAUACCAAUUUGUUUAUUAGUCUCUUUUUAGCAACUGACGAAACUCCAACCCAAACUAGCUUCAGCAGAGCCCUUUUCAGUCUAGUUGCCUCAAAAUUUAAGGAGUGAGGGUGUCCAUCACAUCCACGUGUGCAGGAUGGGAAUUUCUUGCCAUGUGCCUUUCUGCUUUUGCCUGUCUGGUCAACUUACGCCCCCUACCCACCUAAACGUACUGGGUACCUUUCCACAUCUAAGUAUCUGCGUCAAACUUCUUGAGCAUUUAUGGGGCUUUAAAACAAACUUCUUGAGCACUUACUGUGUCAGUGCUAAGCACCUUAUUUAUAUGUGUCAUCUCUUUUACUCCUCACAAAAUGCUGAGUCUUUUUUUUUUUUAAUAUAGACAAGGUCUCACUAUGCUGCCCAUCCUGAGCUCAAGCGAUCCUCCUGUCUCAGCCUCCCAAAGUGCUAGGAUUACAGGCCUGAGCUACUGUACCCGGUUGCUGAGUCACUUUUUAAGAAACUUUUCAUUUUGAAGUUUUAGACUUACAGAAAAGUUGGAAAAAUAGUACAGAGUUCUGUGUACCAUUCCCCUAAUGUUAACAUCUUACACAAAUAUAGCACAAUUAUCAACACCAGGAAAUUAAUAUUGGUACAAUACUAUUAACUCAUACCUCCACAAAUUUCUGAUGUUUUUCUCAUGAUUAUGAAACUGCCAUUGCAAAAUUAUAACUGAGGCGGUGAAAGAGAUCUGACCUAACCAACUCCAUCUUGCUUCUCACUUCCAAGCUGUCCUUGUUCAUUCCUAAUUGUAGGCCUCACCGACUUUGGGAGGAACUUAGUUUAUAGUUUAACUCUGAAACAAAGACCCAUAACAGCCCUUUCCCAAAACAAAUCCCCUCCCUGCCUGGGGACUAGACUGCCCUUGUAGGACUAACAAAUUAGCCAAAAGAUUAGAAAUUAUGGCUUAAGAGUCAUUCAGCUGGAGGCUACAAGAUUCUGACCCUCCCCAAAUUGUUCAUAGGGAUAACAUAUCUAUUGUAAAACCCAAGAUCAGCGCUUGAGAUAUUUGCAGACCCUGCCCUUGAUGGAUCAGCUGGCACCACCCAGAUCAAUAAACUGCCUCACUUGAUCUACCCCACUCAGGAACUGACUCAGCACAAGAAGAUAGCUUCAACUCCCUAUGAUUUCAUCUCUGGCCCAACCAAUUAACACUCCUGACUCACUGACCGUCACUGCCCAGCCAGUUUACAGCUCCAAGACCAAUGCAGCAGCCACAUGCGGUCGCACAUGUCUUUGGCCCUGAAGUACUCUUUUCUGAGUUUUCUGACCACCUUGUAUCAAAGACUGAUGUUUCUACAGAGGUUGAAGAAGAGGCUAUUUUCAAAAGAUUCUUCUCACUUGUCUCUGGCAACUUGGUGGCCAGGAUGCUCUCUGUGCGUGCUUGCUGAAUAACAUGAGAGAUUGGUCAUAAUUCUUAACCAGGACUCCCUGUAACAAAGACAGGUUAACAAGCAAAAACACAAAAAGAAGUUUGAUAAUGUGUAUAUCUCCUGUAUAUAUGGGAGAUAACCCAGAGAAAUGAGAUUUCAAAGAAAAAGUUUAAACUUGAGGUUUAAAUACCAUCAGUUCUCUGAAAUGAAGAAAGAAGUGUAUGGGGAAAGACCCUGUUAAGACCAGAAGACCAGGAAAAGCACCUUAGACAAAGGUAAGGUUGUUCUGCAGGUUUAAGUCAUGCCUCCUCCAUUAAGUGUCU